rnacentral:rRNA from 1 species
AGUGGCGGACGGGUGAGUAACGCGUAAGAAUCUAACUUCAGGACGGGGACAACAGUUGGAAACGACUGCUAAUACCCGAUGUGCCGCAAGGUGAAACCUAAUUGGCCUGAAGAAGAGCUUGCGUCUGAUUAGCUAGUUGGUGGGGUAAAGGCCUACCAAGGCGACGAUCAGUAGCUGGUCUGAGAGGAUGAGCAGCCACACUGGGACUGAGACACGGCCCAGACUCCUACGGGAGGCAGCAGUGGGGAAUUUUCCGCAAUGGGCGAAAGCCUGACGGAGCAACGCCGCGUGAGGGAGGAAGGUCUUUGGAUUGUAAACCUCUUUUCUCAAGGAAGAAGUUCUGACGGUACUUGAGGAAUCAGCCUCCGCUAACUCCGUGCCAGCAGCCGCGGUAAUACGGGGGAGGCAAGCGUUAUCCGGAAUUAUUGGGCGUAAAGCGUCCGCAGGUGGUCAGCCGAGUCUGCCGUCAAAUCAGGUUGCUUAACGACCUAAAGGCGGUGGAAACUGGCAGACUAGAGAGCAGUAGGGGUAGCAGGAAUUCCCAGUGUAGCGGUGAAAUGCGUAGAGAUUGGGAAGAACAUCGGUGGCGAAAGCGUGCUACUGGGCUGUAUCUGACACUCAGGGACGAAAGCUAGGGGAGCGAAAGGGAUUAGAUACCCCUGUAGUCCUAGCCGUAAACGAUGGAUACUAGGCGUGGCUU